ensembl:lncRNA
AGGAUUUAUUUCAUUUUUUAAAAUUUUAUUAUUAUUAUUAUUAUUAAGUCAUAAAAAUCUCCCACUAUUUCCUCCUGAGGAUCCGUGAUGUUUUCCUGCAGGCCAGUAGAGGAGUGUAUUUACAGCAGUAAGUCUAUUUGGUUUUGUCUCAGACACAGUGCUAAACAAACGGAUUCUUUUUCAUCCUUCUAAACUGAUUUUAUGGGAGGGCUCUCUCCCUCCCAUAGGUUCUGAACCUAAACUGAUAUGGAUAAUAACUCACAUCCUCUUUGAUUGCUUUUUCCAGUUCUCCAUGAAUAGCUGGUAAUCAUCUUGAUCUUUCAACCCUAUAUUUGGACUGCUACCCCAUUCCUAAGGAUGUACGAGGGAUGUUCUGAAAAUAAUGCCUCCUAUUUGUUUAGGUUGACUGACAACAUCAGAGGCAAAUGUUGGUGGUAUGGCAGUAAAGGCUGAAAUUUCCCACCAGUAUUCCGUUAUGUUUUGUUGCUGUGUGACAGAGGGCAGCAGAGGAGCAGUCUGACAAGGAGGACAUGAUGUGGCCUGCUGCUACUUUCUGCUUGCCUGAUUGCCUGCUAAAGUCCAUUCCUCUUGGCACUGCUUACACCAGCUCCAGCUGCUCCACAUUGCUUUGCAGUAUCAACAUCUACCUCCUCAAAUUUGGAAGACUGGUCACCCUUUGUAGUACUGCUGUGUGGAUGAAUCUUAAUCUUCUUGAAAGUAGGAUAUUAAAGAUGAGAUAAGCCCUGGUAUCUAGAAGUAGUAUAUACUGCAGUCCUAUGAGACACAUAGAUAGAUAGCCAGAUAUAAUCUUUCUCCACUGGAUAUCUUGUCCUUAGAACUAUUACCCUGGAAACACUCCUUAAUAUUUCAAAUCACAUUCCCCUUUUCUUAGGUAUAUUCUAUUUAUCAGACAUAGCCUAGCUACAGAAUGGCCAAUGCUGUUGAGCUCUCAAUCUGUGUAGAAAUGGAUUUUCAUCUUUUGUACAAGCUUGUAUUUUGCUAAACAAUUAAAUAAAAACAAAACACAACAAAACAAAACCUUGUAAAUACCAACCUGUUAGGACUGAUCUGUCUAUAGAUCAAUGAAGUGUUAAAAUCCACCACAGGAAUUAGUCCCAGUAUGACUUGAUACUUCACUCUGAAGCAGAAGUACUUUCAAAAACACAAAUAUCUGGUUUAUUCCCAAAAGCUCUUUUUUCUGGGUCAAUCCCAUGUUUCUUAAAUACUGUCAUGACAUUGAGGGGAAAGCUGUGCGCAUGUGAGAAGUCGGAAGCUUUGACACAUUAGGCAAACAAGAAGUCAGUUUAGUAUUAUGCAUUAAUGAAAGAGAAUGAAAAUAAAAAUCAGCUGAAAGCAAAUCCCACCUGCAAACCACUUCAGCAAGGUGUAUGAAGCAAAGGACAUCUGUGACCACAAUGUCAUACACUGAGGCAUUAUGGCUUCACACUGCAAUCUGCCUCUGAGCAGUCAUUUGAUAACACUGCAAUCCAGGAAUGCAGCUGUUCCUUUCUGCAAAUUUAAUGAUCCACAUAUCUUAAAAGGCAUUUUCUUUCAUAUUUUUUUAUUUACUUCUUUUGUGUUAUGUUUUGUAUCAGUGAAGAUAGAACAUUACACAGUCAUCAGGGAAAUUAUGUUUUUCCUUUUUUUUUUUUUUUUUUGAUCAUUCAAGACUUAUAUUCACAGUAAUGAGGCUUCCAGGUUUGUGCGGCUGUGAGAUGAACUGCAUUUUGCAUCACUGUCUUCACCUUCAUGUCUGGGGUUGUUGCCUUCACCUUCCUCCUGAUACUAGCCCUGAGGCACAUGUUAUCUCAUAUCCACAUGCAUUCUGUCAUGUCUCACUCUUUGAAUGAAUACAAAAACAUUUUGAGAAAAUGGAAAAUGGAGGGCUGGAUUGAAUUUUGUAGAUAUGCAUGUAGGAGACACUGCAUGCAGAUUCCCACUUUCCUGCCUCCGGGUGGUGGCUGUAGGAAGCAACUGCCUUGACAUUUCUGUCUUUCUUUUGUGGAAACCUUAUGCAGCCUUGUUCAAUCACACAAUCACAGAAAAUCACAUUCACUGGUGUUGGAAGGGCCCUCAAGCAAUCAUCAAGUCCAACGCCUCCGCUAAAGCAGAUACCCUACAAUAUGUCUCACAGGUAGCUCUCCAGGCAGGUCUCGAAUGUCUCCAUAGAAGGAGCCUCCACAACCUCCCUGGACAUCUCUGUUCCAAUGCUGUGUCACCUUUGCCAUAAAGAAGUUCUUCUGCAUGUUAGUACGAAGCUUCAUAUGCUCAAGUUCAAGUUUGUUUAUGUAUUACCUCUUGUUUGCAACUCCACAUUCAGCUCCAACUCUAAGGGAAGGAUGACAAGUUCAGUCUAACAUAGCAAACAUAGCAUGGAUUCAGCAACAAGACAACUUGGAUGGGCUUCAGUUGGAUUCACUGAAAACUGAACAGCAAUGCUGUAAGAGGUUGGACUUCUGCUCCAAAAUUUCUGUUUUCCCUCUGGGCAUGUUAGGAUAAGAAUAUUCUGCUCUUUGCAAGAAUUUGGAUGAAUCUCAGUAUAUAGUGCUUUUCUUUACAUGUUCUGUGUUUAGAAAAACCUUUUUAAAAUACUGAAUGUAUAUUAUUAUUGUACGAUGUUAUCUCUACAAUAGGUUUGUACUUUGAACUACUGGUUAGAAAACUUCUUAAAUAACUAUUAAUAAUGAAUCAGCCAGAUUUAGAGUCAAGGGCCAAAUUCUUUUAUUUUGAACUCUGACUAUAUUGACUAAAAAUCAUUUCUAUUUAAAAGAUCCCUGCAGGAACCUUCACUGUGGACUGUUUCUCAAGGCUUGAUUUGCAUAUCACCAAGACCUAUCUUCUCCUAUUUUUCCCCGAGAUGUUAUCUCUGCAAUAUCUUUCUUCUGUACCUCCUGGCAACUUUAUAGACUGCUCUCCUAUGGCAUGCUAAUAUCAUUGCCACUAGCCAAAAGAAUUUGCACAAGACAAAGGUGGAUAAUCCUAGGUUACAGUUUCAUUUGAUAAUCAAUAUGGAGAACAACCUCCGUGUUGAACCUCAUGUAGGUAGUAAAUCCAGCCAUAUUGAAGCAUGUACAUAGUUUGCUCUAGAAGUAAUGCCUCCUAUUUGUUUCCAUGAAAACUACGACAUAUAGAAAUAAUGUUUAAAGAAAAGGUGUGCUUUACGUUACUCCAUGUGGAAAAAUUUCACCUAUUGACAUUCAUCAGUGCUUACUGAACGUUUAGGGAGACUAAGAAGUGAGUAUGAACACAGUGGUGGGUAGUGCAUUUCAACAGUAGCAACAGAAACGGUGGCUCACCUAUGCUGGUGCAGAUUUUUAUGACUAUGGCAUGUAAUUUCUUGUUCAUCACAGUAAAAAUGCAUAUCUCAUGGUGGUGAUUAUGUUGAAAAAUAGUGUUUUGUAGCCGAGAAUCUGCUCUGUCAAAUAGUGUUAUUGUGCUCUUUGUAUCCAUUGUAGUUUCCAUGGAAAUAAGUAGGAGGAAUUACUUUCAGAGCAAGCAAUAUACAUAAAGCACCCCAUUGAAUUCAAUAGGAAUAUUGACAUAAGGAAGGAAUGUAGGGCUAAGCCUUUGAUUCCUGUAGAAUUCUUCUUUAACCAAACAAAAUAUUAUUCUGUGUUUGGAUUAUGUUCAAUUAGAACUUAGAAAUUAUUGUUUGUCUGUGAGAUGCCAUUCACAUGACUAUCUUCUCAUAAGUGAUUUAUACUACAUGCUCUUAGGACUAUGUCAUGUGAAAAGUGAAAUAUUUAGAUAGCCAAAUAUCUGACACAAAAGUAUAUGACAAUCACACACACACAACUGAAAGUCCAAGAAAUCACAUCACCCAAAUUGCUCAUAUCUUUCUCUCUCACUGUUUGUGUUGGUUUCCUUUCAGUAGAUACAACUGCAGAUCUUUGGCCUGUGCCACAUGUCAAAUAAGGAUAAGAACCUUCCCCAUGGAAGUCAGUUUUCAAAUUUAAAUGGAACAGAUAUGUAAAUUUUAACACUUUCCCUACAUAAUAUACGCAUUUGAACUGCCAGAUUGUUCAGGUGUACAUGCAAGGGGUAGGUUGUACAUGCAAGAACCCAUUUAUGCUGAUGAAGAAAAUGAUGUAUGGAAAAUAAAAUACAUUUAAAGCAUGCACUGUGGCAUGUACUGACUUUACCAGAAUAAUUGAGGGAAUUAAUAUUGAAUACCCGAUCUAUGGAGACAAAAAUACUAAAUAGCCUAAUGUCACUGAGAAAGAAGCAGAGAGCAAAGGAUUUCCACAUUUUUUCUCUUACAAAAUUUUGAUGGAUUCUGAUCUUUUUUUUGUGUGUGUGUGCUGUUUUUCUCAAACCCAAUGUGAUGACAGAAAACCUUGAAUGCAGAUUUCUUAUUGUUGUGCAAUUGCUGGGGAAAUUGUAAAUAGCUGGAGUUUAGAUUUGAAAGUAUGUAACUACUCCAUUUCCAUCUGAAUUAACAUGUAAUACCUUUUUUAAUUCUGUAUUUAUCACAGGAAAUAUUUUUUGCUUGAAGUAUAUACUUCUGGGAGUGUGUUCAUUGUCCUGUGUUGUAAUAUCACUUCUGAAAGAAAUAUGUCUUUAAAUAUUAGUGUUCAGUAGGACUGUUCUUAAUCUCUGUUAUUAUAAUAAAUACUGAAUGUCAGACUUUUUCAAAGAUCCAAAUUGGAAAUGUGCUUUUUAUCUCACUAAAAUGAGUGGAAGCUCCACACAUCAUGUACAUUUCAAAGUAGAGAACUGUUAUCCCAAAUAUGCAUUGCAAGGAUAAUUGGAAAGGAUUAAUUUACUUCAUGGGGAUUUGACGGAGAUGAAUGAUCUGUUGUGCUCCCGGGAAAUUGGGAAUUUGGAAUUCUUUACUUUCAGUGGUUGAGAAUUAUCUGUGAAGUUUCUAUGCUUGAGUAGUUUUAAGUGCAUCUGUUCUUGAAGUAAUACAAAACAAAAACUCAGAUUUUCCCUGUCUGGGGUUUAUUCAUGUUACUACAGAUUUUUAAUACAAAAAUUAGAAUAUUGAAAAUAUAUUUUCCCUUUGGUUUUAAUAUUUAUACAGUAGAAAUUCUUGUUAGUGUUAAAAUGGAAUCAUAUAUGCAUUUAUGUUUUUAUAUGCAUAAGUACACCAUAGUUUAGGGUUUGAUGAAAGCCAUCUCAGUAGAAUCAGUCCUUGUUAUACUUGUUUUAGAUUUGUGCUGUUUGAGGCAGAGAGAUACAGAUAGAGGAUUUAUUUUUCAGUCCUAGUAGUUAAUCAAGUUCCUGUAACAGUCAUCUAAUCCCAUGGUUUUACCCAAGUCGUUUUCUCCAUGUUACUUCUACCUUUCUUAAGCAAGGCAAGUUUCUGCCUCAACAUUCUACCUUUGACCUAUUUGACCUUGCCUAUUUCCUUUCUGCUGUACAGCGGGUCAAUAACAGUACUGAGCAAGCAAUCCUCUUUCUAGCAUAUUGCCAGCUGUACAGGAGCUGUUGUGAACUCCCUAGAAAAGCUGAGAUGUGGUGUAAUACUUACGUUCACCUGCAAUCAGCAAUUUUAUGGUGCUAUCUCUGAAAAGCAGAGGGGAUUGAGUGGAUGUGCCGUGAAAGAAUUGAUGGAAUAUCCACUUUAAUGCUCUCUUAAGAAGGAAGGAGCGUUCUGCAGAAAUCCAGUCCAGCAUAUAUGCUAACACAACAGCAUUUUGGUUUGUUGGACCUCCUGUGGGGAAGACUGCAAAGUGGUUAUAGUUAUACAGGCUGCUGUAGGCAUCUCUGGGCUAGUCUCCCCUCAACAAAGAGACUGUCUAGAAACAAAACCUCCAGGAGCUGUAUUUAUACAUAUAGCUUCAGGGAGGAAUGUGUUCCAGAGCCUCAUUAACUCACCUCUAAGGUUGCAAGAGUAUCCAAUGGUGUGGGAAUAUCAAUGACACUGGUACUGUGGUCCUCAGUGCUCACUUCCACAGAUGCACAUUAGAAAUCUGAAUUUCUCCCUCCUUCAUAGCUGUAUGUGAAUCUAUUUGAAUGUAGAGAUUAUAUUUCUUGUCAUCUAGUACAGUCAGGCAUACAGUUAGACUCAGUUGCAGACUUGAGAAACAAUGAAAUAAAUUAAUUUUAUAAGGGAUACUAAUUUUAUUAGUCAGUGAAAAAAAAAAAAACAAUCAACCUCAACAAAUAAUAGCAGGUACUUAAGAGUAGCUAUAUAGCUAUAAAGUAGCAGUAGGGAUAUGUAAAGAUAGUUUUUUCAUCCAUGAGACAUGAUAAAUCAGUAGGCGAUUUAUGAUGAUAUAAAUCAUGAUAACAAUCAGUGGGAAGAAAUAUUCGAGACAAGAGCCAUGAUGCUUAAUGCUAUCAUCUAUAAUACAUUUGCUCUAUGUUUAGUUGUGCAGGUUAUAAUUGUAUUUAAAGGAUGCCUACAUGUGAACAAGGAUGACAAAAAAAUUCAUCUUGUUACUCCUUUGAACACAGGAGAAUCAGUAGUUAGUAUUGAGGAAAUGUGAGUAACUAUACAGAGAUAUUUUGGUAGUGCAAAGCCUAUGUUCACUCACAAAAGUGGUUUCACAGAGGAUAAGAAAUAGCUCAGAUCCCGUAGUCAGCAACCAAAGUAACCAAGUGCUUGUCAGAUACCAGGCGCUACAGUGCCAUCAGCAAAUCAGGCUAUCUGUUCUUCGGGCAGCUGACUACUGCCUGCUAUUCACAGCUCAGGCUCCAUGUUACUUUGCUCCUGUGUCAGCUGCCAGUCUUCUCCAAGUGAUUCUCCAAGAAACUCCAUUUCUGCAUCUCAAAAUUAUCCCUGUUUGUUGAUACUGCGCAUGACUAAAAUGGUAUUUUCAUAUUUCAGAGCAGUUGAAGCCCCUUAAAGCAGAGGGCUGUGAGUGUGAAAAAGAGAUAUGUUGUUCCCUAAUGGCUUAUUACCAUCUCAUUUGCAAUUCAGAUCAGUUAUAAAUUGACUGAAAUUUUUAAACACAUAGCAGGCAGUUUAAACUAAUGAUUGUCUGGAGGUUCACAUCUGACAUGAACUAAGCUUCUGUUCAAAACAAAUUGCAAAUAAUUCCUCCCUUAGAGUCAAAAUGUCACUUUUUACACAGUGCAUUGUUGCCAGAUUUUGUCAGCUCCAUUAAAAUAAAACCAAAUAAAUAAAUAAAUAAACCCAUCUAGCUAUCCAAUGAGUGUUCUGAACAUAGGGUGACCCUGUUAUUAUCCCUUAUUUACAGUAACAGGGCUUUACAUUUACAGGGCUCUGCACAGACUGCUGAAAGGUCCUUUCUCCCUCAAAAGCCCUAACUGUGGCGAAGGCGCUGGGGUCAGUAGCAGGCCUGGGUUGCCUAGCAAUCCCCUGCAGGCUGCCCAUCGCCCUCCAAGCUCGGCGUACCAUCUGAGUCCUUGCCUCAUGCUUGCCCAUGCCUGCUCAAAUAUUUCCACUGAGGCAGCUGUGUAUGGGUGGCUGUGGUGUGCUGGCGGGACUGUGAGUGCUGUGUGGAUGAGGCACACCGGCCUCCCAGCCACAGAGAUGUGGUAAAACAAUGUUAAUCCUUCGUUGUAUAUAGACAACUGCUUGAAGAAGCGAUUCAGAAUUUGGGUUUAAUUCCAUCAGGAUUUUGAAGUCCACACCUCUCAUGAUGAUAGCAGGGGAAGCUCUUCAAAAAUGCCCAAUGGGGUCACGAGGAACUGUUUAAUGUGUGAUUGAAAUUGGAUUUCCCUUCAAAGAAUAAGCCAUCUAAGGGGGAGUCACUGGAGAAAUCUUGAUGACUUGCAGCUGCUGAUUACUAAUUUUGAAUAGGGUAGUAUUUUGCUAAUUUCUAAAGGGAAUAAGCUUAUGUAGAGGGGAAAAAAAAUAGGUCAGUUCCUUUUGAUGUAAUCCUCAUGUAUUUUUGCUUUCUAGGUGUUGGCCACAGGGAGUUUUUUUUUUCAUGCAAUGUUACUGGGUCAGGUAUCCUGGUUAGAUGUUACUUGAAAGUCUGUGUUACUUGACUGGCUGUCUCGGGCUCAAAAAAAAAGAGGUUGUUUUUUUUCUUUUUCCCCACAAAAUAGCACAAAGAACUCUCUUAUGUACAGCAAACUACUUGUUCGGUUGCUAUUUAUUUAAGUUUUCAUCUUGAACUGUGAACUGAUAUACUUUGUACAGCACUGCAUGUCUCAAAAGUUUAUGCAUAGUGCAUAGCCUUACUUUUUUGUAUUUGAUUACUUUUCUGAUCCCUUAUCCACUGAAAAGUGUUUCUUAACUGUUGCUAAAAUAUUGAGAUGAUGUUGACACCUGCUCAAGGAAAAUUUUAUUGUUGGAGAAAGUAUGGUGAGAUGACACGAUUUUUAAGUAUCAAAACAGAAAUUUCACUGAAAACACUGAUUUUCUUUCUGAAAAUUAUGAAUGCAUAAUUAGUUUUAGUCAGUUUGGGAAGAAGUCGUUAAGCAUUACUUGAUUUAGAAUGUCACUGUAUUUGUGAGGAGAGGAAUGCUGAAACCAAGUGAAAGAGACUUUUCUUUGCUAGAUGAGAACAUUCAUGACAAAUUUUCCUACUACAUAAUCACUGCACGUUAAAAAAAGAGCAUAUUUUAAAGAAUCCUUUCCCCAACCCAAUUUGUUUUUUACGGCAGAUGUUGUUUGUUAUUUGUUUGUUUUGUUUUGUUUUAUAUCUGGAAAGUGACGGGAAAUGUGAAAAAGGCAUUUCUUAAGGUAUAUCCCAAGCUUUAUGAUCUUUCUGGGAAUACCUACCUGCUUGUAGCUAGGUUUAGGAAAGAUAUAUGCACGAAACUCUUACAUUUUUCUUACACAAAUGUAUAUACAUUUGUAUAGUUGAAAUGUGACGCACUUUGUACUCUAUGGAAAAAAAACUGGGUCUCAGCUAACUGAUCAUAAUAAUUUAGAUUAACUAACUGUAAAAUGAGUUGCCUCAUUCAAAGAAGCUUUUGAGUGCUGCCUCUUUCUUUGAUAUGUCUAUGAUGUUGAAGGCUGACUUCACAUCCUGUUUGCCCUGGCUACACUUAAAUGUAUAAAAUAGUCUUGCUGAUGUGGUUUAAGGCUAAAACUCCAUCAAAAGCAUCUUUCAUUGCAUGCUGAGUGCUCAGGAGAGCACAUGGUGUUUCUUAGCCAUCUCUCCAAUAUGUGUUGUGUAUGUUCAAGACUAUAGAUCCAUCAAUCUACAGCUUUGCUCUGCUUUUUUUGUCCCCAGUCAGAAUUAUGCUGUGACAAUAGAUAUAUAACAUUACCCUUAAUUUAGGAGGCAAUUCUAGAUAAGUAAUGCUUUGAUACUGCAGGUGAUGUGCAGGAUAUAAAUAAUUACACAAAUACCAUUAGUGUCUCAGAGUAGCAGUGAAACUUUUUUUUAUUUUUAUUUUUUAUGUUUUUGAGUAAUGAUUUGUAUGCUGGAGAGUUGUUUAAGGGACAGAAAAUAUCUUUGCUGAACAAUGCUACUAUCCACCACUGUAUUAAAAAAGCUUCAAGAUUUGCUUUUGUAUGAGCCUGUGUGUGUCAUAUAUUCACAUAAGUCCUACUUUCUUAGAUGGAAUCUCAAGUGAAAAUAAAAAUAAAUGGAUAUCCUAAAGUCAUUGCAAACCAUUUGUGAUGCUUUUACUUUACAUUUUUUCAUGGUGACAUCCAUCAGAGUCUAAUCUCUUAAUAAACUCAGGCUAUACAUUGCAGCUUCUUCCUUCACGUGGCCCUUGAAAGAGAAUUUUCUAAUACCGUGAAGAUGAUAAAGAAAAUAACCUUUUUUAUUUUCUUACUUUAGUGCAAGAGGGACACAGAAGAACAGAUUCCUUGCAAGUAGCACAAAAGCCACUCUAAAGAAUUGUUGAGCUGUUUAUUGCAUUAUCUUUACACAAGAACCUAUGAUCUGUAUUGCAUGGGUCUCAAGAAGAUCCCAUGUGCAUCAAAUAAAUUCAAGUACUUUUUGUGUUAUUAAGUUUUAGUACAUGUGCUGUAGUUACAGGAUACUGGAACAUCCAAAAGGUUCUGAUGUUUUAGUUAGGCUUCAAAAGGCUUGAAGACUUUUUUGAGCUGCAUGAACUAUAGUUGUCUGCGACGUCAGGCUGGAAAUCUCCCAAGAAUGGCUCCUUGGAAAGAUUAUUGUUAUUUCAGUCUUCUAACUAAAGAAAGAGCCUAUUGUAAUGUAUGAUUAUUGGUGUAAUCCUGCAAACCAUUUACAGUGCUUUCAAACUUGAAGUCAGCAAAGGUAGUGCAAUGAAGUAUAUCAAUGUAUUACAGGAAUUAUUACUACCUUAGCAAAAGAGUGAAAAAGAAUGACAGAAUAACUGUAUUAUAUACCACUCUUUUUAUACUCCUGUUUCCUACUUACUUGAAUUAUAAGUAAACAGAGCAGGACCUUGCUGGGCAGGGACAUUUUUUUGUGCCACUGUGGCAGUGGCCUGGUUGAUGACUGUGGGUCUUCGUAUUCUGAUAAUACUGUAAAAACUGCAAUAAGCUUUAUUAACUUAUGAUACAUUUAACACUGAAAUCUGUAGGGAGGUAGUCAGCUUAAUAGUGGAAAAAAAAUCGAUCAAUAAAUAGGAAUAUUUUUACAGUUACUCAUUUUGCACACAAAUUAGUUCCUAAUAAUUGAGUGUACACGUAUGUUAUGUAUUUUGUAUUCUGCAAGCUCCUUUGCAACAUGUGGUGUCUGAUACAAAUGACAUGAGUUUUAUGGCUUCUUUGACAUGUUAGAGUGAGAGCUCAUAGCAUUUCUGAUGACUCACAUUGUCACUCGUGAUUUAAUAAUUGAUCUGUACUCUUGAGUGUAAUGAACCCUGUAAUUUAUUAAAAGACGAAAAGUGUUCCCGUAGUUAGUGUGCUGAUGUUUGACAGGAGAAGUUAAUUUUUGAGGUACUACUGCUAUAAAAUCUUGUUGGUAAAUGCAAUUCAUUUUUAUGCUUGGUGAAGCACUUUUUGAUAGCAGUCUGGAUAAAAUAUGAAUACAUAUUUGCGGUGAACUUGUUCUUGAACAAGUUUUGUCUAGUGUCUCUGCCAUCAUUUUUUAAAUGGUUGUGAAAUACACAAGUCGCCUGUAAAAAUCCAAGACACUUCCUCAGUACUUAUAGUGUGGUUCAGUGUUGGUUGAUAAGAAAUGAACAUUUGUCUCUGUAAGUCUGUUCUUCUUGAGCCAAUGACCAAGUGUUUCUGUGACCAUGAAAUUUCUAUAUCAUCCUUUCACUUAGUUACCGUUCAUGCUGUGUGUUGGUGAAGAAAUAUAGGAAGGUAUGUAUUGGCCAAUACUGAGAUAUAUAACCCUAACAAACAAGAAAAGAACUCUGGGGAGAAGAAGGAGGAAGGGUAGGGAAUGGGAAAAAGAUGGGAAAUGAG